GGCCUGAUAGCACAGUGGUUAGUGCGUCUGCUUCAAGUAUAGUAGUAUUCUUGCACCUUUCAGCAGGAGACCCUCGUUCGAUUCGGGGUCAGGCCA